GGCUCCCCAACGGCCGCCCGGUCCGCGCCCUCUCCGGUGGUCCGGCCGUGCCGUGUCACCCCCUGCCUGGCCGGCCUCGUCAGCCGUGGGGGUGGCAGCAGCCUCAGGAGAGGUCAGCAGCACCCUCCAUCUGUGCCUUACUUGUGGUGUUAUAAAUUUGGCCACACCUCAGCAGUGAGCUACUGUUUAUAAGAAGAGAUCCCAGCAGCUAAAAGAAGCCAGUCAUUGGGAUGACUCACUACUUGCCUUGUGAACGGCUCAAGGGAAUUUCUUGAAGAACUAUGUCAAAAUCAGCUCUAGAAACCAUUAAUUUGAGAUCUUUCAUUGACACAUAACAAGCGCUCCCAGAUUAUUUUUGGUCAAGUUCGUGGGCUUGGAAGGAAGAUUCUUUUUGUCUGUACUGAGUGAAAAUUUCCCCUUUUGUGCAAGGCAACAAGAGGAUAAAAAAGGCUUUUUUCCUCUCUGCAUGAAUAAAUCUGACGCAGUGUGAACCCAAUCAUCAAGGCACCAUGAACGCCUGCAGGAGGAUACAUUCUCUCCGUGCUCACAGGCAGAAAACCAAUGGGAACAGAAGUGAGAACUGGCACAGCACCUCUGGGUUCAAGCACCAGCAAGGAGAUGAUCUUGUUACAGUCCAUACCCUGUACACAGUGAUCAUCGUGAUCCUUCUAAUGGCACUUUGGGGAGCCUGGUCAAGUAAGAAUUCAUUCUUAUAGAAGCAAUUUAGCAGCUUUCUUUGUAAAGUAUUUAAAUAAGUGAUUCUGUUACUUAUUUAAGAACAAAGAAGUACAAAUAAUGGUCUCCGCAUAUUUCAAUUUACUUGAAACUGCUUAAAUGGUUGCUACUUGUGGAAGUGAAUUUAACAGGCCAUGCACAGACCAUGAUUUGUGAAUGACAGAUACCUGUUUGGCCUGUACAUGUGUAUAUUACCCUCAGCAUGUAUAUGAAACUUUGAAGCACAAUAUUCUAGAAAGAAGAGUUCAACUUCUGUUUUAUUGGUCAAUAUUUUGUAUGUCCACCCCAGCUUUCCAUUUUUGAGCUUAAACUGUGGAGUCUCUACCUCUGCUAAGAUUGCCUGUCCCAAUCCAUGGUAAAAUAUACACCACAAGCAGGAAAAUAAUCUGCCAUGUCAUGACAACAUAAGAAAAAAAAUCAAUAAAACCGGCUAUCCUGCAGGCAAAGAAGGGUCUCUGAACAUGUGAAAUUCAUCUACGUUGCUGAAGAGACUUUAUACAGGACUUGCAUCCACAUAUUUUUAAUUUAUGGUAAUGACUUUUUAAACUCAGGAAUCAAACCAUGAAAUAAGCUGUAAACAUCCUUUGUCACAGAACCAACUGGCUCAGUCUUCACUCUUGUAUAUAUUUAAUUUAUUUUCAACUAUUGCUUCCUUUUCCAUAAUUCAUUAAUGUCUCAUGGCAGCAGCAGCCUCUACAUACACCAGCCUAUUCUUGAUGGGAGGUAUUCCAUACUCCCACUUUUUCAGGGAAGAGGAAGUAACCCCACUAAGACAACCUGCAAGCUUUCUGGAAGUACAGCCAGUUGGCAGUCUCUGUUAAACUCUUUGUUAGGUGUAUGGUUGUCUACACCAGAUGAGCACAAGUUAAUGGACAUGCAGUUCUGAGGGGCAGUGAGUGCUGGGGACAAUAGUUCAAGCCUUGGGAGCUUAAACUCAGCUUAAACCCCAAAUAUUAGCACUACCUAAACUAAUAAACAGUAUCCCUCCCAAAAAAAAUCCUGUAAGACAUUUUGAAUACUCACAUAGAUACACAUCUGUAAUUAUGUAGUACCUGUAGAGAACACAAUUCUUACAAGUAUCAUGUACCCCAUUUUGAUAUCCACCCAUAGUCAGGAGGGGUACAUAAACUGAAAUGCCUCUGAGAAGACCUCCGUGGCAUAGCUCCAGGAGUGUGUACAAAGCACAGUGUAGCACCAGGGACACCCAUGCCAGCUCUCCACAGGUGGCUGUAGGCGCUGAAAUUGGUGAUCCUCCAUUGAUGCUGCACUCUGCCAAUGCUACCAAUGUUGCUCUACUUGGGUGUGCUACUGGAUACCAUCCUCGAAGAGAGGAUAACCAUCUCCAUCAUGACAGGUAGGAAGGUCUUCCUUGAGUAUAGAACCACACUCCUGCUUUAUGCCCAGGGGUAUACCUGCUCUGUGAUGGACAGGCCAGCAGUUGGACAUGUGUCAGAUAUACUUGGACUGAAAGCUUUUAACUCAAACAGCAACAGUCUGCUGGCUCUAGCACGUGUUCCAAAGUCAUUGUAAAGGAUGGUGUUGUAACAUCUGUUUCUUGUUUGCCUUGUCUCCUCUUCCCCUUCAUCCUCUCUCCCACAAGAAACUCAUGUAUUGCAAAGCCUUCAAGCAGGAAAGUGAAUUUUGUGGUGGACAAGGUUUUAGGCAUUGAAUUUAGAAGUAUAGACUGCUGGUUUUCCUCAGCUUUUGUCAUAUAUGCAAUACUGAAAAGGCAGCAGAGGCAAAAAACCCCCCAAAUUCCAAAAAACACCCCACCUAGGAAAAAAAAAAGCUAGAACAACUGACCACACAUCAUAAUUUUGGAUUUGUUGUAUUUAUAAAUCCUGCAGGUAUAAUCCUACCUUUGAAGCCCUGGAGAUCUAGAUAAAGUAUUGAAUAUACUUCAGCUUCCUCUUUCACCUUGUGAUAGUGGAGAUCAGGUAUGAAAGUCCAGAGGAGACAGCAGCAGAACAUUAAAUGUUUUGAAAAACCUAUCUUUUUUUUCUUAAAAUUUUGCUUUGCUGGAAAACUGCCUUGGCUGAUUUAACAGUAACAUUAGAGAUUCAAAUUUACUAAUUUUUAGCGUGUUCAGAAAUACAAGAGUGACUUUGCAGGGUGAACAAAAUCUACGUUUAUUACCAGUUUUUGUAAAUAACUGGUUAACCCGAAUAAUGCAACUAGGACUAGGGGUAACCUGUGGUCUUGCAGGGCAUAGUCUUCAUUGCUAACAGACCCAAAUCAUCUGCCUGAGUUCUACUUUGGAGGCUUCAGUUCCCAAAAUAAUUUCCUGUAAAUCCACCCAUGAAAAUACCUCAUUUGGGUCUCACAGUAAAUCAAAAUUUCCCAAAUUACCUUAUGUCAACAGUAACAAACUAUUUAAUGUUUCUGCACCAGUGAAACAGACUAACGAGAAGUAGAAACUGUAACCCCAACUUCACAACUUGUGUGUCAAAACUUUUAUGCAGUGAUCAUUUUAUUACUAUUUCUCCUAUAUUAAAGAAACUGGACAGAUAUUUUACACAUGUUCAAAAAAGGCUGUGGUUUAAGCAAAGCUGUCUGCUGUUAUUUUAAGCUACCAAAAACACUGUAGUUCAGCCAGUAAAUCUUAUGAUAUGUUCCAUGUACCAACUGGACUGUCAGAAAAGGAAAACAAGUCUUUUAUUUUCCAUGGUCAUUCUCACAUCCUGAUGUUACACACAUCUUUUUUAAAAGACGUAAGCCCUUCCAAGCUCCAUUUUUUACUACUGCCUCACACUUCCCUUUAGAGAGGAUGAUGCAUUCUGUAAAACCAUCUUUAAAGCAAGAAGUUAGCACAGUGAUUUCUCCCAAAUCCUUUCCUUUGAUAAAUCUUGGAAUUCCUUUGGUACUUGGGAACUAAAUUUGCCAUUGGUCUGGUUGGUAAGAAAAAAAAUGAUAUUUGUACUCUUGGGUUUAAACUGAGGGAAGACUUAACCAAAAUCAAAAUGCAAAACACAAGCUAGGGAUUUCCAUAAUUAAUACAGAAACACAGACAAAAGUAGGUCUAUAUGUCAGUUCACUGGUCUGUUUACUGUACUGGACAACAUUUCAAC